UAGCACAAGUGCCUGACAGUCUGGAUUAUUAUGAAAUAUGAAUGCAAGUUGACUUCACAACAGAUUGUCUAAAAUGUUUGCAUUUCUCUAUGUGUAAAAAUGCUAUCAAAAUUGGAUACAAAUGCAUAUAUUAAUUCAGAAGAUGUUAAAGAUUACAGUAUAACUGAAUCUGAACUUUUCAUUUGGACUAAUGGAUAGGCAACUCAGAAAAAAAAAUCCUGCAACUUUGUUUUCAUGUACAACUGCUGUGAGAUUACUGAUAUGCUGGGAAAAAAAUGGAAAGGUUUGACGCUUCCCACAAUGGAAGAAUGGCUGAUGCAGAUGAUGCAACUUGUGGAGAUGGCUCAAUUAACUUCUUUGAUCAGACAAAAACAAUAUCUACAUUUAUAGCUAACUGGAAAUCCCUUGUAGACUUUGCAUGAAAUGGAAAAAAUGAACUUCUGACUUGUGGUAUUUAUUACCCUAUUAGAAAAAAAGGUUGAUAGAAAAAGUGAGGGGAAGGAGACUGAAGCAGGCCA